CUCGGCGGAUCAGCCCGCUCCCGGUAAAACGGGACGGCCCGCCAGAGGACCCCUAAACUCUGUUUCUAUAUGUAACUUCUGAGUAAAACCAUAAAUAAAUCAAAACUUUCAACAACGGAUCUCUUGGUUCUGGCAUCGAUGAAGAACGCAGCAAAAUGCGAUAAGUAAUGUGAAUUGCAGAAUUCAGUGAAUCAUCGAAUCUUUGAACGCACAUUGCGCCCGCCAGUAUUCUGGCGGGCAUGCCUGUUCGAGCGUCAUUUCAACCCUCAAGCACAGCUUGGUGUUGGGACUCGCGUUAAUUCGCGUUCCUCAAAUUGAUUGGCGGUCACGUCGAGCU
rnacentral:rRNA from 3 species